rnacentral:rRNA from 1 species
UACAGAGGGUGCAAGCGUUAAUCGGAAUUACUGGGCGUAAAGCGUGCGUAGACGGUUACAUAAGUCAGAUGUGAAAGCCCCGGGCUCAACCUGGGAAUUGCAUUUGAGACUGCGUAGCUAGGGUGCGGAAGAGGGAAGCGGAAUUUCCGGUGUAGCGGUGAAAUGCGUAGAUAUCGGAAGGAACACCAGUGGCGAAAGCGGCUUCCUGGUCCAGAACCGACGUUCAGGCACGAAAGCGUGGGGAGCAAACAGG